UGGGCCACCAGUUUGACACCCCUGAUCUAUGGUGUUGGCUAUUCCUGCCAGUUUAGUAUCAUCUGCAAAUUUGAUAAGUUCCCCUUCUAUUCUCUCUUCCAAGUCGUUUAUGAAAAUAUUGUUUGGGGGUAACAACCCUGGAUGUGCAUGUGGCAGAAAUACACAUUCUUUUCCAAAUGCAGAUAUACUCCCUGUUUUUAAGGAAGUUGGGAUUUCCAAGCUGAAGAGUCCUAGAAGAUGAUGUAAUAAUUCUGCAAUGGCGAAUGCUCCUGUGUGUUAAGGCUAUUGGAAUCUGAGCACUACAGCAAUGUGAUAUAUAGGAUGUGAAAACAUGGAGAAUGGCUACUUUUACUGUUCAACCUUAAUUUGGGGAAAGUAAUGGAAUUCAAUAAGACUUGGAUACACUGGCAA